rnacentral:rRNA from 1 species
ACAUGCAAGUCGAGCGGUAAGGCCCUUCGGGGUACACGAGCGGCGAACGGGUGAGUAACACGUGGGUGAUCUGCCCUGCACUUCGGGAUAAGCCUGGGAAACUGGGUCUAAUACCGGAUAUGACCUCCUGCCGCAUGGUGGGGGGUGGAAAGGUUUACUGGUGCAGGAUGGGCCCGCGGCCUAUCAGCUUGUUGGUGGGGUAAUGGCCUACCAAGGCGACGACGGGUAGCCGACCUGAGAGGGUGACCGGCCACACUGUGGACUGAGACACGGCCAGACUCCUACGGGAGGCAGCAGUGGGGAAUAUUGCACAAUGGGCGAAAGCCUGAUGCAGCGACGCCGCGUGAGGGAUGACGGCCUUCGGGUUGUAAACCUCUUUCAGCGCCGACGAAGCGUAAGUGACGGUAGGCGCAGAAGAAGCACCGGCCAACUACGUGCCAGCAGCCGCGGUAAUACGUAGGGUGCGAGCGUUGUCCGGAAUUACUGGGCGUAAAGAGCUCGUAGGCGGUUUGUCGCGUCGUCUGUGAAAACUCGUAGCUCAACUACGGGCGUGCAGGCGAUACGGGCAGACUAGAGUACUGCAGGGGAGACUGGAAUUCCUGGUGUAGCGGUGAAAUGCGCAGAUAUCAGGAGGAACACCGGUGGCGAAGGCGGGUCUCUGGGCAGUAACUUACGCUGAG